rnacentral:lncRNA from 1 species
GUAGUUAGAGUAGUAGUAGUUACAAGUACUAAUAGUAGUAGCAGUUACAAGUACUAAUAGUAGUAGUAGUUAGAAGUAAAUAGUAAAUAAACUGAUAUGUACACAAUAAGAUAUACAUAGUCAGGUCUGUCCAACCCAGUUCCUGGAGAGAUACCCUCCUGUAGGUUUUAACUCCAACCCUGUUCCUGGAGAGAUACCGUCCUGUAGGUUUUAACUCCAACCCUGUUCCUGGAGAGAUACCCUCCUGUAGGUUUUAACUCCAACCCUGUUCCUGGAGAGAUACCUUCCUGUAGGUUUUAACUCCAACCCUGUUCCUGGAGAGAUACCUUCCUGUAGGUUUUAACUCCAACCCUGUUCCUGGAGAGAUACCCUCCUGUAGGUUUUAACUCCAACCCUGUUCCUGGAGAGAUACCGUCCUGUAGGUUUUAACUCCAACCCUGUUCCUGGAGAGAUACCGUCCUGUAGGUUUUAACUCCAACCCUGUUCCUGGAGAGAUACCAUCCUGUAGGUUUUCAUGCCAACACUAAUUUAGCAUGACUGAUUCUAAUAAUUAGCUUGUUGAUACGCUUAAUCAGAUUAGGUCAUUACAUCUUGGUUUGGUUCAGUAGUGUGAAGGGUCUCAGGCUGGUGCUAUGGAUGCACCACUCAAACAUCAAAUCUCAUCUCUGGCAGGGUAAGGGUAAGGUGGAACAGCAGUGUUCUCUGGCAGGGUAAGUUGGAGCAGCAGUGUUCUCUGGCAGGGUAAG